UACAGAGGAUGCAAGCGUUAUCCGGAAUGAUUGGGCGUAAAGCGUCUGUAGGUGGCUUUUUAAGUCCGCCGUCAAAUCCCAGGGCUCAACUCUGGACAGGCGGUGGAAACUACCAAGCUGGAGUACGGUAGGGGCAGAGGGAAUUUCCGGUGGAGCGGUGAAAUGCGUAGAUAUUCGCAAGAACACCAGUGGCGAAGGCGGCUCACUGGCCCGAUACUGACGCUGAGGUGCGAAAGCGUGGGGAGCAAACAGG
rnacentral:rRNA from 1 species